rnacentral:ncRNA from 2 species
AGGAACCCGGUGUGAGUCCGGGGCGGUCCCGCCACUGUGACCGGGGAGCGCUUCUCCACCGACGGCCACUGCCGGGUACCUGGUGGGAAGGCCGGAGGAGCGCCGCGAUCCGGGAGUCAGGAGACU